rnacentral:rRNA from 1 species
CGGGGGGAGCAAGCGUUGUUCGGAUUUACUGGGCGUAAAGGGCCCGUAGGCGGCCACCGCAAGUCGACUGUGAAAUCUCCGGGCUUAACUCGGAAAGGUCAGCCGAUACUGCGGGGCUAGAGUGCAGAAGGGGCAACUGGAAUUCUCGGUGUAGCGGUGAAAUGCGUAGAUAUCGAGAGGAACACCUGCGGCGAAGGCGGGUUGCUGGGCUGACACUGACGCUGAGGCGCGAAAGCUAGGGGAGCGAACGGGAUUAGAUACCCCGGUAGUCCUAGCCUUAAACGAUGAAUGCUUGGUGUCUGGGGUUUUAUAGUCCCCGGGUGCCGUCGCUAACGCUUUAAGCAUUCCGCCUGGGGAGUACGGUCGCAAGACUG